rnacentral:lncRNA from 13 species
AUGCCCAGGACUACAAGGGGUGAAAUGUUAACACAGAACAGCAUCUGGUUUCCAGGCAACAACAACAACAACAACAACAAAGUCUUCAUGAUAAGAGACAAACGGAUUCUCGUACCUUUUUUAAAAAGUUUUCAACGUAACGAUCUACGGAUGGCGACAAAGUUGCUACAUUGUUCUCGACCGUUAAAACUCUCCCCUCCGAUUUCUUCCCGUUCAGGUUCUCAAAAUAAAAGACAAAGAAAGGAACCCCAAAACACAACAGUGGUGUUUGAUUCUAGACCCUUAUGUGAUUUGACAGCCAACAGCGUCGCUGUGAGAGGAAGGGAGAGAGAGAGAGAGAGAGAGAGAGAGAGAGGGGUAAGUUUGACAGGGAGAGGUUGGGGAUAGAGGGGUCUCUGUUCUACUGCGAUUCUAGAAUAUGGAACAGUUAUGACACUACGGAUUCUAGAAUUCUAAAUAAUGUAGUCUUUUUUUGACAGGAAAGUUCUAGAUAAGAAUGCCUGUUGUGGACCAGAACUGGUCCAAUGGGUCGAGGAGGUGUGGUGUGUUUAGAGAUCAGAGGUUUCUGAAUGAGGGAUGAUGGAGUAGUGGAUUUGGGGAUGUAUUUCACCUUUGACCUUUCAGACUUGCCUGACAACUCAAACUACUGUACAUUUUCCCCCUGCUCUAUGUUGGCUACAUACUUCAGUCAGACGGCCAUCGUGGAAGUCGUUUGUAGUGACGACAAAAUGAGGGGUUGUAAAAAAAACUAAGUCAUCAGCGAUUGGAUCAUCUCUAACCAAUCAGAGUAUCAAAGCCAAUGACGAAUUUUCAAAACGCCGCCUUUCUGACUCUGGCCCAACCCAUCGGUUUGUGGGACCAAUCAGAAUGGUUAGAAUGUGUUUGUGUUCUAGAAUUCGUCAGGUGGGGGGGUACUCAGAUCCAGUCUCAUCGCAGAGAAGAAACUAACGUCCGUGGGCCAGGCAACUUUCGAACCUUCACCUUGCAUUUUUAGGGGGGGGAGGGGGGUUGAAGGGCUACGUUCCUCCCUGUUAGCCUGCUGUCCUGGGACCUGUCCCAAAUUACAACCUAUUAUUCCCUCUAUUGUGCACUACUUACGACCAAAGCUCUGGUCAAAAGUAGUGCACCAUGUAGGUAAUAGGAUGCCAUUCGCGAUGCCUGUCGUGUCCUGUCCUGUCCUGUGUGUGAGCGGUGGUGCUGGUGGUGUAAGGCAUUGAGCAGUGCACCAUGUAG